GAUGAACGCUCGCGGCAGGCCUAAUACAUGCAAGUCGGACGGGAUCCAUUGAUAGCUUGCUAUCAAUGGUGAGAGUGGCGCACGGGUGCGUAACGCGUGAGCAACCUGCCUCCAUCAGGGGGAUAGCCUCUCGAAAGAGAGAUUAACACCGCAUAAUAUCAACAGUUCGCAUGUUCAGUUGAUUAAAUAUUUAUAGGAUGGAGAUUGGCUCGCGUGACAUUAGCUAGUUGGUAGGGUAACGGCUUACCAAGGCGACGAUGUCUAGGGGCUCUGAGAGGAGAAUCCCCCACACUGGUACUGGGACACGGACCAGACUCCUACGGGAGGCAGCAGUAAGGAAUAUUGGUCAAUGGGAGGAAGCCUGAACCAGCCAUGCCGCGUGCAGGAUGACUGCCCUAUGGGUUGUAAACUGCUUUUGUCCAGGAAUAAACCUAAAUACGAGUAUUUAGCUGAAUGUACUGGAAGAAUAAGGAUCGGCUAACUCCGUG
rnacentral:rRNA from 1 species